GGGAAGAUUGGACCUUAUGAAUUACCAUGAGGGAGUCACCUUCAACAAUCACAUCUGGGAAAUCAAGAGCCAGGCCCAAGUGGACCGCAUGAAGACAAGCAAUGGCCUCAACUGCAAAAGCAGAAGUGCAGGAUGUCCUGAAAGGGGAAUGAAAAGCCGCAUCAAAGUUGAUUUUCAAACAGUAUUCGUCCAAGGGUCACCACCGCUCAUCCCUAAUCGGGCGCCCAAGAAGCUUCACCUAUGCCACAUCCAAUUCCGGAAGGUCCACCCAGAUACCAGUAACGGAGGGACAGUCACAGAAGAUGUGCUCCAAAGUUUCAAUAGCCGCCAAGCACCAAAGCAUAGUCGUCGGUUGUACAGAUUAAAGAAACUAGGGAUGAUAUUGCGAAAUAUAUGCCAUGUUGUAAUUUUUAUCUUAGAAGAUAGUUGUAAAUUCCAUAAUCUUGUAAAGAAUGGCUUGUAUAUGUCAUAGUCACUAGAUGGGCUCGAGCGAUGAAGUAAGCAAUAGACACUAUGAACCGAGUACUCCCCCGAAACUUCCUCCCCUCAUACCAAAGUAUCAUCAUGAGCCUCCCAUGCGAGAAGAAUACAGAGGACCUUCUCCACAGUAGCAUUAACCAAAACAGUGGCCGUGGAUCCAUGCAUCAUCCCUGACUCAGAUACGAUAGCCUAUACCCACACGUUAGCUCAGCCCAAAAUUCAGCAAACCUUUAGCAACCCAAAUGUUUUUCCAAAGGUAAGAAAGGUAAGAUCCCAACUCAGAAUUCAUAAAAUCACAUUGCGAAUAGUAUUUAUGCUUAAGAACACACGCAACCUAUGAAUUCAGAUUACUAACUAAACGCCAACCUUUCUUAGCCAAGAGAACAACUUUAAAUUGAGCUAAUUGUUGGCAACCCAUCCCACCCAAAUCUUUUGAAUCACACAAAGAUGACCAAUCACACCAAUGGAUGCCCCUACGUCCAUCAUAUUUCUUCCACCAAAAUCUACUUAGAAUUCUCUCCAAGUCUAAGCAAAAAGAAACAGGUAAUUAAAAACAUAACAUAG